AUUAUUUGUCCGAACUUAUUACUUUGGGAAUGGAAGAAUCGAAAGUGUAGAGGCAAGCUAAGAGAAAAAAAGAACCCCAAAAUUCCCAAACUGCAGAAGAAAGAAAACAAAAACUGUGAAAUUUUCUAAUUGAAGAAGGAGUUGAUGAACUGUAAAAAGUAGAUCGACUUGUUGAAUUUAGAUCCCUUAUUGCUGCUACAGUGCAUCUGUGGAAUUGACAAGGGUUUCCAAAUAAAGAGGUGGGUAAUCGAAUGAGCAAGGAGAUUUGCGAUCUAUGCCUGAAGCAAGUUACCAAGUGGAGGGAUGCAAUAAAGGAUGCUUUACACAUCAAAUUCAAGGUGGAUUUAGCCAUGGAGCAUUUGAAGAAACUUGCUUGCGCUUACAUCAGUUAGAUGGAGAAUUGAAAGCUGGAUACUGUGUUUUUGAGGAUAUCAAAUUUUGAGGCUCAGUUGAGUGCUGGGAAAGAAAAACAGGCUAAGAUAUGUGAACAGUCCAAGGUGUUCAUAGAUGCUGUACAAGAGUUUAACGGUAAGACAAUCAGCUCUGGUUUGUUUCAGAGUUUAGAAGCUUGGUUGAGCUCGGUCUAGCUCUAUCAACUUUCACUUUUUAACGUUCCAGGUCAAUUUAAGAUACAAAUUGAAUUGCUCAGGUUUGCAAUUGGGCUCAUUUACCUUAUAA